rnacentral:rRNA from 1 species
AUUGAACGCUGGCGGCAGGCCUAACACAUGCAAGUCGAGCGGAUGAAGGGAGCUUGCUCCUGGAUUCAGCGGCGGACGGGUGAGUAAUGCCUAGGAAUCUGCCUGGUAGUGGGGGAUAACGUCCGGAAACGGGCGCUAAUACCGCAUACGUCCUGAGGGAGAAAGUGGGGGAUCUUCGGACCUCAUGCUAUCAGAUGAGCCUAGGUCGGAUUAGCUAGUUGGGGGGGUAAAGGCCUACCAAGGCGACGAUCCGUAACUGGUCUGAGAGGAUGAUCAGUCACACUGGAACUGAGACACGGUCCAGACUCCUACGGGAGGCAGCAGUGGGGAAUAUUGGACAAUGGGCGAAAGCCUGAUCCAGCCAUGCCGCGUGUGUGAAGAAGGUCUUCGGAUUGUAAAGCACUUUAAGUUGGGAGGAAGGGCAGUAAGUUAAUACCUUGCUGUUUUGACGUUACCAACAGAAUAAGCACCGGCUAACUUCGUG